GACGAACGCUGGCGGCGUGCUUAACACAUGCAAGUCGAACGGAAGGGCCCUGCUUUUGUGGGGUGCCCGGGUGGCGAACGGGUGAGUAACACGUGAGUAACCUGCCCUUGACUUUGGGAUAACUUCAGGAAACUGGGGCUAAUCCCGUAUAGCAGCUCCUGUUCCAUGGUGGGGGUUGGAAAUUUUCGGCGGUUGGGGAUGGACGCGCGGCUUAUCAGUUUGUUGGUGGGGUAGUGGUUUACCAAGGGUUUGACGGGUACCCGGCCCGAGAGGUUGACCGGCCACAUUGGGACUGCGAGACGGACCAGAGUCCUACGGGAGGCAGCAGUGGGGAAUAUUGUACAAUGGGCGGAAGCCUGAUGCAGCAACGCCGCGUGCGGGAUGACGGCCUUCGGGUUGUAAACCGCUUUCGCCUGUGACGAAGCGGGAGUGACGGUAAUGGGUAAAGAAGCACCGGCUAACUACGUG
rnacentral:rRNA from 1 species